rnacentral:lncRNA from 10 species
CUUCAGCCCAUCAUGCUGAGGCAUUCAGAACUCAAGUUCUGAAUGCUGGGAUGGGCGAUUCCACUUUGGCUAGGGGCGAUCUGAAUGUUCCCUUUGCGGUUGGGUGUCAGCUGAGUUCAGCCCAGUUUUGCUUUCUGCUGUGACAGGGCAGCACUGAGUUCAAUGCAGUCUCACAAUCACUGCACUCUUCCUCUCCCAGUUGCACAGAUUUCUCUGUGUCAUGCAGCUGCUAUGGGGGGAUGGAGGAGGAGUGGCAUUGGCAAUUCAAGACUGCCUUUCCUACCCUUUUCAGUGCCUCUUUCAGUGAUACGAAGCUAAAACCAGAUACUAUCUUGGGAGGCCUGGGUCCUAGAAAGCUUAGGAUCCUAUGCA